rnacentral:rRNA from 1 species
GACGAACGCUGGCGGCAUGCCUAAUACAUGCAAGUCGAGCGAACAGAUGAAGUGCUUGCACUUCUGACGUUAGCGGCGAACGGGUGAGUAACACGUAAGGAAUCUACCUAUAAGCGGGGGAUAACAUUCGGAAACGGGUGCUAAUACCGCAUAAUAUCUUCUUCCGCAUGGAAGAAGAUUGAAAGACGGCUCUGCUGUCACUUAUAGAUGACCUUGCGGUGCAUUAGUUAGGUGGUGGGGUAAUGGCCUACCAAGACGAUGAUGCAUAGCCGACCUGAGAGGGUGAUCGGCCACAUUGGGACUGAGACACGGCCCAAACUCCUACGGGAGGCAGCAGUAGGGAAUCUUCCGCAAUGGGCGAAAGCCUGACGGAGCAAUGCCGCGUGAGUGAAGAAGGCCUUCGGGUCGUAAAACUCUGUUAUAAGAGAAGAACAAAUUGUAGAGUAACUGCUACAGUCUUGACGGUAUCUUAUCAGAAAGCCACGGCUAACUACGUGCCUGCAGCCGCCGUAA